CUAAGCGGGGAGCGGCGCACAGUCACUGUACGGCGCAGGCCCGCGCGUGCGCAAUGGCGUCCCGCCAGAUUACAAAAGGAGGUCGCUCCCUGGGCGCGCAGACCGCGUGGGGGAGGGGGAGGGCGUCUCCGCCCCUAACGGGCGGAGGCGGGGCGGCCGGCCGGAAGUGGCGGGGACAGAAGAGGAAGCGCGGGUUUCUUGCGAGCCAGAGGACCGGGUUAGACGCGAACCCUCAGUCUCCCGCCCGCUGGUUUGCUCCCGACCUAGGCGGAGAGCUAGCUGCCAGGGCCGGUCGGGCGCCGAGUGACCCGGCUCCGCCAGCUCCUGAGGGAGAGACAGGGAGUGGACGGACGAGGCGGGCUCCAACCGCCAUGUUAGCGGAGUCCUAAGAAACCGCGCGAGCCACAGCCCAGCAGGACCUCGUGGCGCAACGGUAGCGCGUCUGACUCCAGAUCAGAAGGCUGCGUGUUCGAAUCACGUCGGGGUCAUGGCUCUUUUGUCUUUUUGCUUUUUUGAAUUCAUUAGUUUCAUGCGAGCCAUGGUGUGUUCCCGCCAUUUUUCGAAAAUGCUUUUGGGGUUAUAAAGCUUCGUUCAAAAGUUACCGUAGUACUUUAGCUGCUGAAAAAUAAGGCUUACCAUAAAUUGUAACGCCUGAAGGCCGUUUUUAGGCCUUGUAAUGUGAAGGGGCUUUUUUUUUUUUUUUGAGUGGGUGUGUGUAAUUAAUUACUUGAGAGAUGGUCUUAACUGUUCUGCGUUAAGCGUUUUCUUUCUCACAGCAAUUACACAAUAUUGCGGUACUGUUUCUCCAAAAGUGGUUUUAAUCUGUUUGCCUUUUGAAAGCAAGUACGAUCGCGUACAAUCUAUUAAAUAAUGCAAGUUUUGAGCAGCAGAAAAGUUGUAUUUUAAGCCACUGGGUGCCAAACGUUGGAUUUAGCGCCAUGAAAGUAGCGUAAACUGGAAUGGAGUCAUAAAACGGAGGCACUAACUCUGCCCCCGGUCAUGUAGCCCAUUACAAGGUGAUGCAACCUAUUUUGUCUGCAUUGAAAAGGUUAGUUUGUACAAAUAACAUGUUCGGUUCAAGCUAAGUGUGACAAAAAGUGCACUAGAUGCAAAGUGGGGGAAGGUAGAUUUAAACACAGAGUUGUCUAUCCGAAGUUUUCAUGUUGGAGCUCUAACUCGCUCCCUUCCCCCAUCCUUAGUAACUCGGAAUGUGGCUAUUUGGAGACAGGACUUUUGAAGCAUUGAUUAAGUAAAAAUUAGUCUCUUGGAGUCCUAAUGCAGUAGUAGGACUGGCAUCAUACUUUGGAUACAUGUCAAGGAUGUGUGCACAUAGAAAGUUCGUGUUAGGCUAGAACAAGAAGGCAGCAACCCUCAAAAAAGCCAAUGUUGUCUACUUCUACAGGGAAAGGGCUGGGGAGAUAAAUGAGAGACAGACCAUACAGGAAGGAGCUUGUGUCCUCCUAAUUUAUUCUGAGGUCAAUGUAGGCUGUUAUAGCAAUUCAUGACUUUGUCAUUCAUGACUUUAACAAGAUCACCAAGAACACAGAACAUGGCCUAGACUUCCCGGACUGCACCCUAGGGAUAACUGGGGAAGAAAAGACUGCAGGUCCUGUUUACCAUACAAGGUAAGGGGUGUCAAAUAAGUCCAAAUAUACCAAAAUGCUAUCUACACUGUAAAGCAGUAGCGUUCUGUUUGCUGCCCCAAUUGUGUUACAGUUAUAAAACACUGACCAAAGCCUUUUGUGGGAGGAAGGGGUUUGUUUCAACUUAUGAGUUACAGUCCAUCAUUGAGGGAAAUCACAGCAGGAACUCAAGGAGGAAAUUGAAGCAAAACCGCAAGAGAAAUCCUGCUUGCUAGCGCCCUCAGGCUCAUGCUGGCUUUCUUACAUAGCCCAGGACCACCCGCCUGCAAAAUGGUGCCACCUGGGCUGGGCUGGCCUAUGUCAAUUAACCAGGCAGUUCCCCACAGACAGGUACACCGACUAAUCUAAUCUGGGCAUCCCUCAUGGGUGAGACCUCUCAGCUGAUCUUAGGCUUUGUGAAAUUGGCAGAGCUAACUAGGGCAAAUAUAUGUACCUGACUAUUACCAUUUGUUUGUUUGUUUGAGACAGAAUCUCACUAUAAGCUCUAGCUGUCCUGGAACUUACCACACAGACCAGGGUAGCCACAAACUCAGAGAUCUAUCUGCCUGUCCCUGCCUCCUGAGUCCCAGGACUAAAGGUGUGCACCACCACCACCUGGCAGAUCACUGUUUUUCUUCUAAAACUUCCAUUUCACAAGAAGCUUAUAAUUUAAAAACAAUGUCUUGAAAAACAAAAAAAAAAUUGUCUAUUAUUAUAUAUCUUAAAAAGGGAUAUAUCCACUAGUAUAGUAUAAUCUGGUUAUGUGUUCACCUAAUUAAUAACCUCUCUCUUCUGAGAUUAUUUUAAGUCAAUUACCUAAAACAGAUAGUCCCUGGAUGAGCUGAUUAAAUGGAAUUUUUGUCUACAAUAUUGAAGACAGACGAAUUCAGAUUGGCUAAGGUUUCUCUGUAUUGCUUUGGAGGUUGUCCUGGAACUCACUCUGUAGAUCAGGCUGGCCUCAAACUCACAGAGAUCUGCCUGCCUCUACCUCCCGGGUGCUGGGAUUAAAGGUCUAUGAAUUAUAUUUGUGCUCGGUGCUGUCAGAGACCAAAAGAGGGUUUUGGAUCCCCUGAAACUGGAGUUGAGGACAGCUGUGAGCUGCCAUGUAGGUGCUGGGAAUUGAGCCUAAGUCCUCUACAAAAACAACAAAUGUUCUUAACCACUGAGCCCUCUCAGAGCCCUGGAGGGUGUAUGGUGUUCCUCCUGUCUUCCUGUCUAUCUCUGCUUCUCAGUUGCCAUGAGGUGAGAGUUCCCCACACCUUGCCCAUCUGUGAUAAUGUUAAUGCCUUGUCCCAGCCCUAAGAGAGAUGGAAGCAGCCAAUCACGGACUGGAAUCACUGAAACUGUGGGCCAACGUGAUCCUUUCAUUCCAGAUGCUGAUUUGCUCAGAUACAAAUGACUAACAGUACUUUUUUCUUUGCAUUUUUAAUUUUUAAAAAUGUGUCUAUGGAUUUUUGGUACCUGCAGGUCAGAAGAGGACACCAGGUCCCUGUGAACUGGAGUUAUAGGCAGCUGUAAACUGAUGGAGCUGCUGGGAACUGAACUCCAAUCCUUUAGAAAAGCAACCAGGGUUCUUAAUUGCUGAGUCAUCCCUCCAGGCCCUGCAUGGUUUUAACUCAUUGAUGAUGAUGAUGAUGAUGUAUAAUUUGCACAUGCCUGAUGUAGGGGGCACAGAGAGGUCAGAAGACAACUCUAUGGAGUCAUGUCUCCACCUCUGUGUUGGUUCUGCAUAUGGCACAAGCACACUGACCCACUGAACCAUCACUCCAGGUCUGCUUGAUUCUCUUGAUACCAGCUAUGUAGCUUAGGCUGGACUUCAACGCACAGUCAGCCUUCCAAGCAUAAGAAUUACAAACAUGUGCCACCAUUUCCUGCCCCCACAUUUUUUCCCCCUUGAGACAGGGUCUCACCAUGUAGCUGUGGCUGGAACUCAAUAUGUAGACCAGGCUGCCUUCAAACUCAGAGAGAUCCACGAGCUUCUACUUCUCAACUGCUAAGAUUAAGGGCAUGAAGCACCUGGCACAGUCUCUUAUUCUUAAAUAAAUGUCAGUAAUAUGUUUUUUAUGGCUUUGCAGUAUUUCCUCAUAUGUAUAUGUAUUUAUUACCAGGUAUUUCUUAUGGGUUAAAUCUGGACUGCCCCCCAAAGGCUAUUUUUGAGCACUUGGUUCCCAGCUUGUGGUGAUUCUUAGGCUGUGAAGUUUGUAGGAGAUGGAACAUAGCGGCAGAAAUAAGUCAUUGGGGAUGAGUACUGUGAUAGCCGUAAGUUCACAACCAAUCCCGUGUAAAACAGCCUUUAAGAAGUCAAGUGCACGGGCAGUAGAGAUGGCUUGGUGGUUAAGAGCACUGGCUAGUCUUCCAGAGGUCCUGAGUCCAAUUCCCAGCAACCACAUGAUGGCUCACAACCAUCUGUAAUGAGAUAUGGUGCCCUCUUCUGGCCUGUAGGCAUAUAUAGAGGCAGAAUGUUGUGUACAUAAUAAAUAAAUAAAUCUUAAAAAAAAAAAAGUCAAGUGCACAUCAAUAGCAUGACAAAGGGAGACAGUUAUCCAAAUGACUGGAAAAAAUACAGCUUUGAGAAUGACAGUAUGGUUAAGUGGUAUGCACAGAACAUCAAUUCAACCCCUAACAGCAACAAAAAUAAGGAAAAAGGCUUUAUGACAAAACAAUUGCAUCAAAUCCUUCAUUCACUUUCAAAUAUUUUUUCAUUCUCAAGAUUUUAGGUAUCACUUGUAUUUUAAUGAUUUUUCUUGGUUUAGUACCCAUUUCAAUAUGAAAUACAUUUUUUUCUAUUUUAGGCAAUUAAAUCUUUUGUUAAAUAAAUGUCUCUCACUAUGUAGCUCAGGCUGACAUCAACCUUGAUAUCCCCCUGCCUCAGCCUCCUCAAUGCUGGUGAUUAUCCCCAGCUGUAGUUGGAAGUUUUAAUUAGGAAAGAAAGAGUACAACCAGUUAGGCGAGCACAAAGCCUAAUGGUUAGCAUUUGGGAUCCUGAAAUAGAGAUUGAGAAGGACAGCAAUUAUUGAUGAAGGAUGAGGCCAAAUGCAGGGGCAAGCUGACCAUGAGAAGGGGACCUGAGAGGGUCAUCUGAGCUGAUGUCACAGAGGCCAAGGAGGAGCUCAGAGGGAAACUUAAGCCAAGGGCUCUCAGUCUCUGAAGGAGGUGCCAACUACUGAGCUAGCUGGCUGAGGAGCCCUUGAGCCCUCAAAUUCCUGACCAACACAGGGGCCAGGUCCUGUGGCCAAAAAAAAAAAAAAAAAAAGUUAAUUUCUGGCAAACAUCCAGAAAGUUGGUAAAUGAAGUGGGGAAGAUAGCAGACGCUAUUCUAUCCAGAUGAACAGAAGACUGUUAGAGGAAAGUUUGGAAUCGGUAAUUAGGAACAGAUUUAACCAUCCAGCCUAAGCUCCUGACCUUAACAUAGAGUAUGAGAGAAAACUAUUCUCUACUCUGCAAUUCUACAACAAAGUUAAAAGGAAAACUUUCAUCACUAGAAUUAGUUCUGAAGGUAUCCCCAUGGACAUUGAUGAGAAAGGCCUAGAAAAGCAACAUUACUGGUGGCUGAGGAGAGCAAUCAUAUCUCCUGAGAAAGUUAGUUUCUGUAAGAACACACAAGCACACACCCAUAGAUAGCGUCCAGGAAUUCUAAAAAAGGUGGG
ensembl:lncRNA